GCAGUGCGUGAACUUUGCCUGGCCACUGAAAUUGCAAAAUCUCCAGCUCAUUCGCAGACACACAAUUGGGUCUGGCAAAACCAUUCACAGUCCUGGAUGUGAACUGGAGCCUACGACAGGGAAGGCACCAAGGACAAUGCCAGUGAGGCUGUGUCGAAAGCUGGGCUGUCUCUGAAAUGGUUCUCUCCAAGCAGGCUGAGGGAGAAGAGAACCUCUGUCCAAUUUUAUCCGGAGCCUUGUUUUUCCAAUCAGAGUCAUGGAACGGGGAUGAAAGAGAAGAAUAAAAACAAGCCAAGACCAUCUGAUUAGUUUACAUAGGAGAGACCAGACUCACAGGAGGGGAAACGCUACAUCUGUAAGAUAAAGGCUGAGUGGCCUACGGCAUGUCACCUACCCUCCCUAAAUUCGGUGCCCUCACCACCAGCUGGGGCAAGGAUGGCGCUAUCUGCCUGCGCCCUGGACGUCUAUGAGAAUCAAGUACUGUAAGGGUAUGUCAGCUUGCUCCGAGGACUGUGAAGAGCCACCCAAAUCAUUACUAAUUAAGGCCUCUUGGACAGCACGAUAUUCACCAGCUUACUGUCCUGGUGAUAGCAAUGGUGGCUGGGAUGGUUCCGAGACUGUCCCUGCUCAGGGCCAUUAGCAAUUCUUCUCUGCUCCUUCCUGGUAUCUUCUCUGAGUCAGGAGGCAGGGAGGAAUAAACUCAGUCCUAGGAAACCUACUGGGAACUGGACAACUUCCCCACCUCAUUUCACCCAGGGCCUCCACCGCUGAUUAAAUGGAAAUGCCGGAGGGCAUGAUGGGCCCAGGCCAGGAUUCUCCUGAAUCCAGCCUAUGCCUGGCCACCGUGCCCUGUGCUGCUGGUGACCUCACCCGCUGGCUCCCAUCUCAAUGGAUGGCUCUUUCUGAAAGGCCAUUUUGAGACUCGUCUUGAGAGUGCUUCAUUCAUGCUGGCUGAAGUUCUUUCUUCUUUGCUCAAAAUUAACUCUACUCAGCCCAAGGCAGCCAAAAAGAAACCGAGCUAGACAUGAGUGAGUGAAGACCUUGCAUACUCUAAAUCUGUUUCCAGGGGAGUUUUCUCUGCUUUCCAGGAUUCCAAGAGAAUGUCAUCCAACCUCAGACGCAACUGCUAGGCUGGAGCCAAGAGCCCACCUUCUGUGGAGGCCUCUCCUAACACGUUCCCAGUAAUCCUGAGAUCUGCACCUCCCUGUGCAAAAGUAGUCAGACCCAUGUCCGGGUAUCUAUCUGCUGCCUCAGAAGCAGACCUUUCCUUUUUGUUUUUAGCUGCUGAGACCAAAAACUUGGCUGAUUCUGUCUCUGGUCUGAGGCAAGAGUCCUUGCAUCUGAUUUUCCUAAGAGGCAGCCCAGAGGCUGGUCAAUAAGAAGCUGGCCUGCUUUCCUUGGCCUCGGUACGGCCAGUUCUGCCCUCCCUCUGAGCCAGGCCAAGAGCAACCAGGGCCCAAAGCAGCACCAGGAUCUUGAAUUAAGACACAGGCAACUCAUUUCACUUUCCUGGCUGCCUCAACACAGCUGUCUUGUCAGCCUGUGUCUCAACCUCUUGAGCGAUUCCAGCUGCUGAGCCAUGCCUGUAGACACAGCGACAUUUGGUUUCUGUUAGAACAGAUCGGUGUGUUCACCUGCUUCAUUUUUUCCUUCCUGCACAAAGACAGGGACAGAGGCAGCCAAAAACUGAUGCUGCUGAUUUGGAGAUUUCCCAUUCUGUUGCAUGACUUCAUGCCUUGGACUGGCUGCUGCUGGGUCUUUCAAAGCCACUUUAUUUCCUGUGUAUUUCCAGCACUCAGCCAAAAAGAAUGUACAGUAUGAAAAAAAUGUCUACUACCCCCAAUUGCAGACCCUCUGCAAAAAAAAAUACCUGGAGGGCUUUUAAAUAAAAGAAAUAAUUACAACCUGCUGAGUUCCUUACAGAAUCCAUGAAACUCGACCUUUUCCAAAAUAUCACAGUAUUUCCUGUGGCUUCUGUAGGCUAAGCCUUCGUAGAUUUAUAAGUAUGUCUCCAACACAGUCUCUGGGCUCCAUUUUUUUAAAUCCAAAAGUCAGAUUUGAAAAGCACAAAUCCACACUCUUGGAAGACAGCAUCCCAAAAGGUGUUAAGUGAAAACCCAGCUGUAAAAAUAUAGGCCGCCAGCUGUCAGGGGUGGUGGACCCAUGUGCAUUUUUUUUUUUUUAAUUUAAUGAAUGGAGAUUUGCUCCUCCAGCUUGCUGCCCAGUUGUAGCUUUUCAGAAGCUGAACGUGUCAGGUGUGCUCUGCAGAUGUGGAUAGUUGCAGCUUACAACUACAUGGUGGGUGGAGAGUGGUUUAUGAGCCUUGAGAUUCAUAAAUUCUGGUCUCUGGAACUCACAAUAUAAGCUCGUUAAAAAUUGGAAAGGGAGGGAAGAAAAACAUUCUGACCUUAAACUACCUGUGAUCAACGACGCAGACUCCUGGUAGCCGGACCCAAGAGAAAACAGAAACCUUUGAAAGACAAACCCAAGGAGACAGAAGUUUCUACUGACUUUCCAGAAGAGGUAAAGAUUCUAAGCCUAGGUUCACUGUGCAUGACUACGUCUUGCUGAGACUAUGUGUGGACAGAUGAGAUGAAAUAGAGGGUGGUACAAUUAAAUGGAUGCUUAGUCUUAUGUAGACCAUCUCAGAUAGGCGGUCAUAAAAGUAUCUUUCCUCAGGUGGUUUUGAACAAAUAAUUCAGAUUAUUAUUUCAACUUCAUGCUCUAGGUUGCCUACCUUAGUUAAACCCAAGGAACAAGAGACUUUAUUUCCAGUGGGGAAGAGUCGAAUUCCAUAUCAAUUUACUCUGAAUAAAAUAGUGAGUACAAACUCACUGAUGGACUCUAGUUAGUGUCAGCCUUGGGCUGAAUUGGGAACUGAUUACCAUUUGUGUUCACAGCCUUCUGUCCUCCCCUUUUGUUCCCCUUAACCCCUAAUGUUAGAGACCCUCUAUUAAAGCUUGGCAGCACCCCCGGCUGGGAAAUAUCCCCCUGCUCAAUCUCUUCUCUAAAAAACCAAUGAAGUGAUUUCGGUUAAGGUGAAAACAGCUGAGGAUGGCCCACCUCCCAGAUAACAGCAACGUUUUAAUCCUUAAGGGAGAGUUCCAAAAGAGUUGAAAUCCUUGGAAACAAGGGAAGCUGAGAUCUUUUUAACUGGGAGAUGGGCCUGUUCAAGGUUUGUUACCUGCCAGCUUCAAGGGAGUAUGAGAACACUGCCUGAGAGAUGGCAGUGAAUGGAUGAACUUGAUUUAAUCCCUAAAUCAAGUGCAGGGCUCCAGUGACUGGAAGAAGAGCAAAGAAAAUGAAACAGAUGUUUUUAAAUUGGCAUCUCUUUACUUAGCCUUGCUCUAUUAAAUAGAAGAAUAUAUACAACUAUUUUUAUGCAGAAAGAAAAAUUCUAACAUGCCCCAAUCACCUGCCACAGACACUUUAUAAACUUCCUACCAUUUGGACUUGCUUCCACCAUUUCAGGAUUUCAGAAUAGACGAGGCAGUCCCAUGUGGACCACAAGAAUGACUACUGUGCGUUAGGAGAGGCUGUUUUGAGACAUGCAGCGUGUGAUUACUGGAGGACACAAGCGAGGCACGGAGUAGAAUACACAAACAGGCCAUGGUAAGCUCUCAGAUGAAUUGUCUUGGGCUCCCAGUUAAGCUACAAAUCAAGCUAUUUUUGAAAGAGAAGAACUUUGGCCCAACUCAACACUUUGGUUUCUUACUGUUUACAUCUAUGAGUCAAAAUUGCUUGCUCCCAAGACCCCCGACCAAACCAAAUGAAAAUAAAUUCAACGUAUGCCCACUGAGCCAGGCCUGGGAGUUCUGGAGAUCAACUCAGAAUCACGGUGUUUCUGUCACUCCCAAAACACUCCUACCUACUUCUACCUGUUCCUAAGUAUUGCCUUAGGAUACUGACAGUCUCUUCUCCUACUGACAGAUUUUGAAUGAUAUUAAAGCUAAUCCUCUCUGGCUUGGUUAGGUCUUGUGUAAGAUUCCCACACCCCACAAUCAAGGCCUUGCAAUGUGGUGUUGGAAGAGAUAGCCAAGCUACCACGCCUAUAUCACGAUUCGGAUGAGGAUAGUAUUUUUUUUCGCCUUCCAUGAAACAGCUUUGAAAACCUGAGUCACAGAACCUGCCUCAUGCAAAUUCUUCCACUCUCCUCCUCCCUGCCAGUAUAUUGGUACCUUCUUGUUAAAAUGAGCAGAGAAGCAUGAACAAGACUUCGAUGGACCUCAGAAUAAAAUGCAAGAUCUUCAGAUUUCCAUUGCAUGAUUUCACCAGGCCAAGGCAGCCCAGCUUCAUUUUUACAUGCACUGUAGCUCUAAGUAUUUGCAGUGCUAUAACCUGUAAGUAUUUGUAUGCCCACCCAAACCCCCCAGUACGGAUACUUUACUCACUUAGCUUCUGGUAAGAAGCAUAAACAAAAAGAAUCAAAGAGUAGAAGGCAAGAAACAGGGGACCAAUUUUCAGGUCAUCCUUUCCUUCUUGAAAGAAGGAAUUUGCCUGCAGUGUCUAUAAUUUAGAAGGUUUUAAUGAACGGCUUCUACAUUAUUUAUUACUCAUAGAAAGCUGUAAACAUCCCUCCCUAACCCAUUAUGAUAUUAUCUUGGCAGAAGUCAAAAGGUUCAAACAUUUGGCACUUUUCACUGGACUGUUGUUGAAAACAGUCGUGCUCUGUGAAUGUAACUUCUCUCCUUCCUUGUUACAUGGGAUUGUGUGUGAGCCUGUGAGCCUGUGUCCGUAUCAUUCACUUGAGAUCGUCAAAAGGCAUCCUGGCUUUGUAAUUUGCUCUUUUGCAGUUUCAACUUAAUAAGAGAUUCCAAAAUUAGUAAAAUAAAAUAAUAAAGUAAAAUAAAGCCAAUUUAAAAAGGCAUCGACAGAAUAUACAAACUGGAUAUUCAAGCAGAAGUGUUUGAAAUGCCUCAGCCUCAUUUCAAAGAGCUUCCUGCUGUCAAGCCCAAACACCCAGACAGGUAGACUGCUGUGAAAUAUGUAGGCGAUGCCUGCUGCCUGAUUUUCAGAUGGCGAGGAGGCAUUUGAAAGCAUCAAAGUUCCCUGUAUAGAUGUGUGUACAUUAAUCCCAGCCUCUGUGAUCUCUGCACUCGCCUAUUGUAACUUGCUGUUUAAUAGAUUGCCAAACUUUGCCCUUCACA